rnacentral:rRNA from 1 species
ACACGAGUUUGAUCCUGGCUCAGGAUGAACGCUAGCGGCAGGCCUAAUACAUGCAAGUCGAACGGAUAUAUGUUUUUCGGAAUAUAUAUUAGUGGCGCACGGGUGAGUAACACGUACAUAACUUGCCCUCAAGCGGGGGAUAGCCUUGGGAAACUGAGAGUAAUACCCCAUAGAAUUAUUGGACGGCAUCGUUUGAUAAUUAAAACUACGGUGCUUGGGGAUAGAUGUGCGUCUGAUUAGCUAGUUGGUGAGGUAACUGCUCACCAAGGCGACGAUCAGUAGGGGGGCGUGAGAGCGUGGCCCCCCACACGGGCACUGAGACACGGACCCGACUCCUACGGGAGGCAGCAGUAAGGAAUAUUGGUCAAUGGAGGGAACUCUGAACCAGCCAUGCCGCGUGAAGGAUGACGGCCCUCUGGGUUGUAAACUUCUUUUGGAUGGGGCGAAAAAACGGGAUUUAUCCUGGACUGACGGUACCAUCAGAAUAAGCACCGGCUAACUCCGUG